GAUGAACGCUGGCGGCGUGCUUAACACAUGCAAGUCGAACGGUGAAAGCGGAGCUUGCUCUGCUGGAUCAGUGGCGAACGGGUGGGUAACACGUGAGCAAUCUGCCCCUGACUCUGGGAUAAGCGCUGGAAACGGCGUCUAAUACCGGAUACGAGCUGCGAAGGCAUCUUCAGCAGCUGGAAAGAACUUCGGUCAGGGAUGAGCUCGCGGCCUAUCAGCUAGUUGGUGAGGUAACGGCUCACCAAGGCGUCGACGGGUAGCCGGCCUGAGAGGGUGACCGGCCACACUGGGACUGAGACACGGCCCAGACUCCUACGGGAGGCAGCAGUGGGGAAUAUUGCACAAUGGGCGAAAGCCUGAUGCAGCAACGCCGCGUGAGGGACGACGGCCUUCGGGUUGUAAACCUCUUUUAGCAGGGAAAAAGCGAAAGUGACGGUACCUGCAGAAAAAGCGCCGGCUAACUACGUGCCAGCAGCCGCGGUAA
rnacentral:rRNA from 1 species